rnacentral:lncRNA from 1 species
GUUUCUUAAAUGUUGAAGCAAAAAUCUAUGUUAUUUCAUGGAAAAAGAUUAUUUUUAGAAUUUUGACAUGUUUAUUUUUUUUUUAUAUGGGAAUUGGCAACAUUGCUUUCAAAUAUGCUCGGUCAAAAUGUCGGGAAGCCGGCGUGUUCCUUAUACGAAAAAACUACCUUUUAAACAUCGUUAUCCCAGAGUUUACGCUCUUACGCUCACUACACUGGCAAUGUCAUUUUUGUUUAGUAAGAACAUCUAUGAUACAUAUUUAUAUUUAACGCAUAAGAUUCCAGAUGAAAAGAAUAAUAAAGAGGAGCAAGUAACAAGUUGAAAAUAAUUGUUAAAAUUUAUGUAAAUAUGUUAGGAAAUAUAAAUUUAACUUAACAAGGCAUAUUGAUUAUAAUUGCAAAUGCUGAAAUUAUAGUCAAAAUAAAAUGCCAAAUUUAAAAAAAAUAAUUGUAUCUAUGAAAUUUUAUAUAAAACAAAAUUGAAUAUCAG